CUUUGCUGGCGUGGGAAGAGCUCGGGUUUUGGAGAAGCAGCGUGGACAUUGGACUGUGACCCUGAACGUUGCCUUCAACUUCUCUGAGGCUCAGCCUCCUCCUCUGAGAUACGUUCCUCACGCAGCUGUUGUGAGUAGAUGAAAUAAUGUAUGUAAAGCUCCACAAGGCUUCGGCAUACAGGAGAGGCUCAAUGCUGCUUGUUGAAUGCAUGAACAGGUGAGGAAACCUUGGUGGAGAAAUCGAGCAGCUUCCCUGAAGUCACACCACUGACAAUCAAUGGAGUCAGCAUUCAAAAGACCCAGCUGAUCAAACGGGAUGCAAUCAAGAAGCCAGCCAAAACCUGAGAGUGGGACUCCAG
rnacentral:lncRNA from 1 species